CCUGAACAUCGCUUGUUACAAGUGUGGAAGCACUCAGCACUUUUUAAAAGAUUACCCUCAGAAGCCCCGUGAUGUUGUGAGGCCCAUCACACAAGGAAGAGUCAUCUUGACGAGCCUGCUGUGAGAGCUAUUGUAAUACCCAAAAAACUUUUGCACGUAAUUUGUAAUUGUGAACCCCUAUUUAUUUGGACUCUAAAGCCACUUAAACUCUAUAGAUAUUUUGUGAUUUUAAU
rnacentral:lncRNA from 1 species